ensembl:lincRNA
GAUAUAAAAGAUGGCAAGUCCAGAUGGAAGUAAGCGGAAGAUAUUAAAAGCCAAAAAAACAAUGCCUACAAGCUGCCGGAAGCAAGCAGAGAUCCUGAAUAAGGCAAAGACUACUGAAGUUCUGAAAACAACAACAGUUGAGAGUAAUGUUCCAAGUGGUUAUCAGAAUUUAAGUACUGAAGUCAUAACUAGAGACUGCAGACAUCCUGAUACUGUUAAUUCUUCAUUGGACUGUAAGAUAAAUUCAGCACUGUUACUAAAAAGUAUAGGAUUCCCUCAGAAAUUAAUAAAACCUGUAGAAAAAAUUGUUCACUUAGAAACAAGAUUUGAACAUAGUGGUGAACAAGUUGUAAGUUCUUACAAGAAGCCAAGAAAAUCAAUAGAUUCUCCCAGCCAAUUCUUUAUACAAGAAGUGAAAGAGAAAUUCAGUACUUCUGAAACUCAUUUUGAAUAUAAGGCAAAUGUAACGUCAUCCUUUUUUCAAAAUGAACAGAAUUCUAAUCUGAAAUCCAUUUGUCAUUCACCUACUAUUUUGUGUGAUGUAGUUCAAAAUCUCUUGGAUGAUAAUAGAAGCAACAAGAUACCUUCCAAUUUAGAAGCAAACUCCAAUUCAGAGUCACAUGAUAAAAGGCAAAAUGACAUUUUAAGUUCAAACUCAUGUUGUGUGCCGGCUGCGAAAACGCCUAACUUGAUGAAUUUAGGUAGUUCCAGCAAGUGUGCUUCUAACAUUUUGAAAACGAAAGAAUCGACUAGAACCCUAUACUCCAGCAUUUCAGAUUGUGAAAAUACAGACUCAAAGUGGCAGUGCUUACUCAACACUGAUGGUAAUAACAGGGCUGCCUCUUUUGCCCAGUUCGUUGGAUUGAGAUUGCCAGCAGCCAGACCCUAGUGAUACUUCCUGGCCUUGGUCAGGAUUCUGCGUCACUCCUUGGUGUUGAAGAUGGUGAGAAACAACUGACAAUAGUCAUUCCAGGUGGGCAGGCUGUAAUCAAAAGAAGAUGUUUUCAGAAAACAAAGAAAAUGUUAAGCAUGUGAAAACGUCAGAGCAAAUUAAUGAAAAUACUUGUGUAGCUCUGGAAAGGCAAGCAGCAGUGCUGGAACAGGUCAAACAUUUGAUUGAACAGGAGAUCUGUAGUACAAAUUUCAAACUAUUUGAUAAAAAAGUGAAAGAAUUGAAUGAACGCAUUGGGAAGACACAGUGCAGGAGAAAACAUGAAGCAAUAGCUGGUGAACUCUUUACAAGAAUAGCAAGACUUCAAAGACGUGUUAAAGCAAUCUUAGCAUUUCAAAGGAAAUAUUUGGAAUCAAAUACAUUUUCCAGUAAUACCCCCUUUAAGAAUGGAAAUUCAGAGACCAUGACUUUGGGUAAGAAUCAAGAGUCAGUUAAUAGCCAAAAGGAAAGAAUGACUUCUGUGUACUGUGAACCUUUCAGCCCUUCAGAAAAAGCAAGUGAAAAAAUUAAUUUGUCAUCGGAUGGUGUUGAGUUUGUUUCUGAAAGUAACAGUGAUGAUGUUAUGUUGAUUUCGGCAGAGAGUCCUAAUUUGACAGCUCCAGUUACAGCAAGUCCAACAGAUUCUAGAACAAUUACAUCAACAAAUUCCAGCAGUUCAUCUAAUAAUAUAAUUGAAGUUAGGACUCCAGAGAAGAAAUGUGAUUUUGUUAUUGAUUUGACAAAAGAAGGCCUGUGCAACUACAAUACAGAAAGUCCACCGUUCACCCUGGAAUCACCUUCUAAGCCUGCUUUAAACUCAAAAGAAAUAACCCCAGUGGCAGAAAAUGUAACUGAGGAUUUGGAUUCCUUUGAGCACCUGCCACCUCUCCCAGAACCAUCAUCGCCACUGCCUGAACUCCUUUACGGGGACACGCUCCCUCCCCAGAAGCCCGAGCUGAAAGUGAAGUGGGUGCUGAGACCCAUGGGCAUCGCCCUAACCUGGAACAUCACCAAGAUCGACCCCAGGUGUGCUCCUGUGGAAAGCUACCACCUCUUCCUGUGCCAUGAGAAUGCCAAUAAUAAGUUGAUUUGGAAGAAAAUCGGAGAAAUUAAAGCUUUACCACUCCCAAUGGCCUGUACUUUAUCAGAAUUUUUUGCUUCCAAUAGAUACUAUUUUGCUGUCCAGUCAAAAGACAUUUUUGGGCGUUAUGGACCAUUUUGUGACGUAAAAUCAGUCCCUGGUUUUUGUGAUAACUUGACCUAAAAGUCUUCAGGAAUUAUAUGUUGUAUAUGAAAUAUUCUGUUUUUCGUAUUUGAGUUGUUCACAUUACUCUUAACACUAUUUACCAUUUCACAAGGUCAGAUUGUGAACCCUUUGGGGACAGUCCUCUUCCUUUUACUGUAAUUAGCUUGUAGUUUCAUGAAUUUCUGACUUGCUUGAACUUCCAAUGUGUGUGUUCUCAAACAUACUGUCGUGGGCCUAUGUUGCUAAGGUGUCUGGGAUACAAGCAGCGAUUUUGUCUUCUGUCAACAGUCAGCUUUGGUGACCUGCUUGUGGUCAGUGUAGCUGUAAGAAAAAUUGUCCCUUAAAGUCUUCACAUUCUGUUAGAAUUCUAGGUAGGCUACGGACCUGUGCCCCUCUUUUUUAUUUAUUUUAGUUUACUUUAUGUCAUGCAUUUGGAGAAGUAGUCUAAAAUUUUUGCUUAAGACUGCUUGUGUGCUUAUGUAUGAAAUGUGUUAAACAUUGUGUGCUGUGUACACAAAAACAUACACUAUCUCAUAAAAACACUGUUCGAUCUGGAUUUAAGUUGUAGUUGUCUGCUGUCUUUGCACUUGUUUUGGCUGCCAUCAAGGACUCAAAAUAUAACACUGAAAGGUUCUAAUGGACUAGUCUUGCAGACUGCUUCCUUGGGGGAAUACCAAGGUAAAGCUCAGGAAACCGGUUUGAGAAUUGUAAGGGCCCAAGGGAGAAGGACGUUGUGGAUGGCUAAUAACUGGAAUGUUACAAAAAUAGAAAAAUCACUGUUUGAAAGUGGGGUGUUCUUUCCUGAUACAUAGUAAAAGUUGUGAACUUUAAAAAUGAACAGUAAAUGGUUUUCCUAGCAUUUUGUGAAUGUGUUCACAUCUAGAGUCAUGAAUAAGGCUAUUCUUUUGCCCGCCUUCCGUGUCUCUACAGAACAUGUCUGAAAGAGCCAGAUUCUGAAACACAGACAAGGUGUUCAUCCUGAGGUGAGGUACACGAGACCUUAACUCACUAAGUGAAGGCCAGCGACUUGACUCUAUGACCAGAUUCUGGAACCCCUCACCAACAGAAACUACACUCACCCCAGCGGGCCACAUGGACAAGUUCAAAGCAAUGAGCUUGUACGUUAGCAGGAUAAGAGGGGGCUGACAGCAGACAUCUGAGAGGGGAUGGCUCACAGUAUUAAUCCUUACCUUUCAAGGAGUAAGAAUAAUGUUCUCAACUGCCAGGUACUAAUGACACCAGAAAAUAGCUGGCCUGAGGCAGAGUGCUCCCCUCCUGCACAGUCAGUGCAGAGAAUUAGCUCAGCCUAGAAAGGCUUCCUGCACCUGUAGUAUGGUGGGAAGCCUUUAUUCUUCCAUUGAGCAGUAGGACCACAUUGGUGAGCUGAACACUGAAUAUGCUGAGAAAAGUUGGUGAGUAGCUCAUGGAAUCAGAUUCAGGCUUGGGAAACAGGCUGGACAGGUGCAUGUUUUGCAAUAACUCCACGAGGUUUCAGACCUGGGAUAGUUUUAUACAAUUCAUAUUUUAACAAGACAUGAUGACACGAGAUGUUUUAUGCCAUUUUAAAGAUGGUUGCUUAGACGCCUUCACCAAGGCCAUAGAAACCCAACAAAUAAGUUGAAGCAAGAUUCAAACCCUGCUCUAGUUCCUCGGCUCAGGAUGGGUCCACCAUCUUUACUGCCUGAGGGAUUGGAUGGAUCCAACAGAAUUCACACAGUUCUUGACUGCCUUGCUAUGUGGAAAUCGAGAAACUCCAGGAAAACAAACCCUCUGGCAUUUUUGUCUUCAAUGAGAGGUGUACUCAGCCAUUCUGAGACUCAGGGUGGGUGUGAUGGUACUUUUCUGUGUCCCUAUACCUAAGCUGUGGCCACCUCUCCAGGAUUUUCACGGACCUGCAGCUCUAGCAGCUGCUGUAAGAGCUGCCCUCAGCCUACCCAUGUAACAGGAUUGUCACUGCUCUGUGCUUUCCCCGCAGUCCACUGUGCUGCUGAUGGAGUGAGAUGCGGACCUGAAUCCAGCUUCUCCCUACUCAUCCGCAGCAGCCUUCCUCUUGCUGCCUGGCUGCCCUGUGGUGACUCCAGCCUCCCCACAGGACACACAGGAGCAGUGUACAUGGCCGUCAGCUCACAGGGCCAUGUGUAACGCCACAAGGAAUUCCUGGCUCUAGCUUCAUUGGUUCCCUUGCUGACAGGAAGAGCCCCCUGUCUCUGGGGGAUUGAGCGGGGCAGUAGAUUGCCAGGCUAUCCUGUAAGCACCCUUUCUCACCCUGAAAGCCAGUCCCAUCACUGAAAUGUGGCUUAGCAACUCAUUUCUUUCUCACUGUGCAAAGUGAAGGCAGUACUGCCCUGCGGUUUAUAGCAGCCUGCCUGCUUACCUCUGCUGUCCCUCUUCUUUCUCCCAUUCUCACUCUCUUUCCUUGUUUAACUGGUUCUGCCAGUGAGACUCAGGGCCCUGAUGAAAGGCCAUCUUGUAAGGAAGACGAACAUAGUAAAUUCUAUCAUUUUGUGUCUCAACAUCCAACAGAAAAGUAAGUUGGAGUUUCUCAGGCCAGAGCUUCCUAAACUUUGCUUCUGGUCCCAGUUCUCCACCUCCUACCAGUGGCCCGCGGUGGCCCCUUCAGACAGCUGUCCUCUGCAGCCACCACCUACAGUUGCUAUGGAGUAAAUAUUCAACCCCCUUGGGUCCCCCUAGUGGGGGCUUCCAUCACCACGUGGUCUCUACCAAUGUACUGCAGGGACCACCUCUUUCUUGGUAACAGCACGAUCCCAUGGAACUUACUCGUUCACUUGCUCUAAACUCACAAAUAGACCUCCUGAAGGGAACCUCUUCAAUACCUGGAUCCCCAUAAAGGCUUCAGUUCCAUUUCUUUUGGAUCUUCCCAACAGCCCUGCUAGGCACCCCUCUCAGAUCCAUGAGUAAUAAAGUGCUUCUGUAUAUUACAUACUUCACUGUGAUGCCUCUCUG